CAUCUCGGUCACAGUUAAAUGGGUUUGCCUCAUACGUGGCAUCACAGGGUUGGUGGGCUGUUUUUAAGCUCUUAUAAGCCCGACCGGCUCUAAGGUAUUCUCAUUAUAAAAUCCUUCUCAAUAUAGAAGAUUGAUUGGAAGGUUGAUAUAUUUGACUAUUACAAAGCAUGACAUUGCCUUUUUAGUUAAGAGAUUAAGUCAAUUCAUGCACAAGCCUAGAAAACCACAUAUGGCAGUAACUCAUAGAGUGGUUCAAUACAUUAAACACUAUUGGUUUAGGCUUAUUUUUCUAUUCCUCUUCAACUGAUCUGCAGCUGAAAGUUUACACAGAUUCAGACUGGGCAGCAUGCCCUGACACGAAGAGAUCUGUGAUUGGUUACACUAUCUUCUUGGGGGAUAAUUUGAUCAGCUGGAAAUAAAAAAAGCUACAUACUAUUUCCAGAUCCUCUGCUGAAGCAGAGUAUAGAGCAAUGACAACAGCUGUUUGUGAAAUAGCUUGGUUGAAAAUUUGUUGGCAGAUUUUAAUAUUGUGCAUUCUCAACCUAUUUUGAUGUACUGUGAUAGUCAAGCUGCGAUUCACAUCUCUUCAAACCCAGCAUAUCAUGAAAAAACAAAAUAUAUUGAAUUAGAUUGUCAUAUUGUACGAGAAAAGUUACAAGCUGGAAUUAUCAAACUCUUUCAUGUGCCAUCCAACAAUCAAAUAGCAGAUAUUUUGACCAAGGCACUUGGUUUGUAUCAGUUUAAUCACCUAAUUGGCAAGAUGAGACUAGUAAAUAUAUAUAGUCCAUCUUGAAGGGGAGUAUUAAGACUUGAGUACAUAUGCUUUAUAUCUUUUACACGUGUAUAGAAAGUGUAAUAGGCUAAUAGUAGUAGUGGAUAUAAUGGAAUGUAUAAGGGACUGUAAUAUUGAUAAAAAAAGCCUCACGGCAGUAGCAACACUUUCUUCGAGGGAAAGGACCUCCACAGUAGCGAUGAACAGUAGAAUAUUCCAGAUGAUAGGUUAAAUCUCUUACAGAGACCUUAUGUACUAUAAUAUGCAUUUUACUAAAAAGUCCUUAAUCUAACUGGGCUAAAGGCCCUUACAGUUUACUUAAAAGGAUCAACUCUUCUGCAGCUCAUGGCCCAUACGGCCCAGCUUCUUUCUUAUUUGGUUCGGCCCACCAGCAGGCCUCUCCACCAGCAGCCCACGACAUAAGCUGAACUCUAGUCUUCAGUUCUUCGUGUGCCCUAAGUUCUGUCUGUUCCUCGUGUGCCAUGCCUCAAGCCGCCGACCUCCCUUCUGCUCUUAACUUGCCCAGCCGUGUGACAACUCCCCUUUCCUUCAGAAAACCUUGCCCACAAGGUGGGGAAAAUCUUCACAAAGCUGAUGGUACAUCUCCCAGGAAGCUUCCUCUGCAGAUUGCCCAUGCCAACGGACCAAAACCUCCACUACCGGAGGAAGGGUUGCUAUGGGUAAAGCCCCUUGAUUGAGUCUCGGUUUCAGCUGUGAAACGUGAAACACGUUAUGGAUCUGUGCAGUGGUUGGAAGCUUCAAACGGUAUGCCACCUCUCCGAUUCGCUGCUCUACCUCGAACGGUCCAUAAAACCUUGGACUGAGUUUGAGGUUCUGCCGAGUAGUGAGGGAUGAUUGCCGAUACGGUUGGAGCUUCAAAAAUACCCAAUCCCCCACUUGGACCCACAGCUGCUCACGGUCACGCAAGGUAACCUCUACUUCUUCUAACCUUGAGGUUCCUGGUACAUAGCUUGUUAGUUUUGGAGGUUUGUAGCCAUACAAUGCUUCAAAUGGCGUAAGUUUGAUAGAUGCAUGCAUGCUUGAGUUGUAACACCACUCGGCUAAUUCAAUCCAGUGAGACCAAUUCUUAGGUUUAUCCCCAACAUAAGACCUUAGGUAGUUCUCAACCCACUUGUUAACAGCCUCUGUUUGCCCGUCUGUUUGAGGGUGGUAAGCUGUGCUAAAAGCCAGCUGCACUCCCUGCAAAGAAAAUAAUUCCUUCCAAAAUCUACUUGUGAAAGUGGAGUCUCGGUCGGAAACAAUUGAGCUUGGCAUACCAUGUAGCUUGAAUACAUGUUUCAUAAACAGUUUCGCUACAUCCUUAGCUGUGUAGGGGUGACAGAGUGGUACAAAGUGAGCAUAUUUUGUAAAUCUAUCCACAAUAACCCAUAAGGAGUUGAAUCUCUCAGACCUAGGCAACCCAUCGACAAAAUCCAUUGUGAUAUCGGUCCAUGGUUUUGAGGGAAUGGGUAGGGGCUGUAAAAGUCCACUAGGUAGAGUAUUAUCUACCUUCACCACUUGACAUGUGUCGCAAUUCUUUAAGAAAGUCUUCACAUCCGCUUUCUGUCCAGGCCAAUAAAAAUCUCUUUUUAGCCGGUGUAAGGUUUUAUCAAAUCCCAUGUGACCACCCAUAGGGCUGCUAUGAAUUAACUCUAGUAGUUUCUGAAUUAACCCUUGAUUAGCUGGAAUGUACAACCUGUUUUUGUACAGCAUCAUACCAUUCUUGACAGUAUAGGGACUAGUGAGUUCCCCUUUUUGGUGCCUUUGCCAUAAUUCUUGCACUUUUGAGUCUUCUCCAUAAUGCCCCUUGAUAUCCUCUAUCCAGUCCCAAGUUGGUAAUGAAAUGAGUGACAAGGUGAUCUCAGCUUCCUCUCCUUGCCUAGACAAGGCAUCGGCUACUACAUUCUCCUUUCCUUUUUUGAACUCCACGACAAAGUCAUAGCCCAAUAGCUUAGAUAUCCAUUUUUGCUGCAUGGGGGUUCCUAUUCGUUGAUCGAGUAGGAAUUUAAGACUUUGAUGGUCAGUCUUAAUCACAAAAGCCUGCCCCAAUAAGUAGGGCCUCCAUCUCUGCACUGCUGAAACUAGUGCUAACAACUCCUUCUCAUACGUAGACAUUCCCAUAGCUCUUCCCUUUAAGGCUUUGCUGAAAUAAGCCAAGGGUCUACCCUUCUGCAUUAACACAGCCCCAAUCGCCUCACCCGAGGCAUCACACUCGAUCACAAAGGGAGACUGAAAAUCUGGUAGGGCCAAUACAGGGGGUUGGGUUACUGCUGUUUUGAGCCUUUCAAAGGCCUCUUGGGCUCCUUCAUUCCAAUGGAAUUUCUCCUUUUUUAAAAGGUCAGUCAAUCUGGCCGCUAUAGCUCCAUAGCCUUUGAUGAAUCUUCGGUAAUAUCCCGUGAGGCCUAAAAAUCCUCUUAGCUGUUUAACAGAUCGUGGAUUAGGCCAUUCUAGCAUAGCCUUGAUCUUUUCCGGAUCAGCUCUUACACCAUAACCAGAAAUUAAAUGGCCCAAGUAAGAAACUUCUUCGCACCCAAAACUGCACUUGCUGAGUUUAGCAAACAACUGGUGCUGUCGUAACAUGUCAAAAGUGACCCUUAAAUGGCCCAAGUGGGUUGCUGCAUCUGGACUGUAAACCAAUAUAUCAUCAAAAAAAACUAAAAUGAAUUUUCUGAGGAAAGGUUUAAAAACCUGGUUCAUUAAACUCUGAAACGUUGAGGGGGCAUUAGUUAACCCGAAGGGCAUAACCAAGAACUCGUAGUGACCCUCAUGAGUGCGGAAGGCAGUCUUCGGAACAUCUUCUGGUUUAACUCUGAUUUGAUGAUAACCUGACCUUAAGUCAAGUUUAGAGAAAAUUCUGGCUCCAUGUAACUCAUCCAACAGUUCCUCCACCACUGGAAUCGGAUAUCUAUCCUUAACCGUAGCACUGUUUAACGCCCUGUAAUCCACACACAGCCGCCACGUACCAUCAGCCUUCCUUACCAACAAAACAGGAGAUGAAUAAGGACUUUGGCUAGGACGAAUCACCCCCGAGCUCAACAACUCCUUAACAAUCUUCUCAAUCUCAUCUUUCUGAAAAUAUGGGUAGCGAUAUGGGCGGACAGAAAUGGGUGUUGUACCUGGUUGUAAAGUUAUGGAGUGGUCAUGGGAACGGUUGGGGGGUAGGCCUUUUGGGGUAGCAAAAAUGUCAGUGUAUAGGUUGAGUAGGUUCUGUAUAUUGCCUGGGAUUUGAGUUGGUGUGACUCGGUUGGAGUCGUCGAUGAGCUGUAACAUGACCCCUUUUUUCUCCAUGCUGUUACAGUCUUGAAUGGAGCCUUCUUCAAUCCAUUUGUGCCCCGUGAGCCCUUUAAGAAUCACAACAGCCUGUUGGUAAGUAAACUGCAUAGUUAACUCCUUGAAAUUCCAAAGAAUUGGUCCCAGUCCUUGUAACCAUUGGACACCUAAAACCAUGUCACAACCUGCCAACACUAAAACAUACAUAUCAAGUAAAAACUCAACUCCUUGAAUCCCAACUUGUACUCCCUUCACCUUACCUUCACUGUCUACUAACUCCCCAUUAGCCACCUUAACCCUGACCUUAUCCUCUGCUACUAUGGGUAUGGAAACCCUUGUAAGCACUCCUGGAUCCAGGAAAUUAUGGGUACUUCCCGAAUCAAUGAGAAUAACGACCCACUUAGGGCCAAUCUUCCCCUUCACCCGCAUAGUCUUUGGGCCCAAUGAGCCAAUAAUAGCCUGUAAGGAAAUCUCUGGAGUCUUUUGCAUGUCCUGUCCGACCUCACACACAUCUUCUUUGUCAAUCUGGACAGAACACUGACCCGUGUCUUCCACUGUCUCCUCCUCCUCCUCUACAACUUCUUCAAUUAAAUAAAGUUUUGGGCUAUUGCAUCGGUGUCCUGGGUGCCAUUUCGAGUCGCAAUGGUAACACAAGCCUUUUUCUCUUCUUAUUUUCAUUUGAUUUGGACUGAUUUUCUGCACUGGUACUAUUGCCUUGUUAUAUGGUUGGUGAUUUUCUGAAGGGUUGGGGUUCUGUGGUGGUUGGUAUUUGAAUGAGGCUGGUUCAAUAUUUUGGGACAGGUUUGGUCGUGGGUUUGGCUUUUUAUGGAGGGAUAGUUUUUCUUCUUGAAUUCUAGCCAGCCUAUAAGCUGUGAGUAGGGUGUGAGGGUUAAACAUUUUAACCGUCAAACGGAUAUCGUCUUUUAAUCCACUGAUAAAGCAACUUAGUUUGUCACUUUCAUCCAAACGCCUUAGCCUAUUGGCAAUCAACUCAAAGGCAGUCUUAUACUCCUCAACUGAACCCAUCUGCCUUAGUCUAGUAAUUUGUUCCACCGGAUCAUCAUAGCUACUAGGGCCAAAACGGAUCAGUAAAGCAUUCACAAAAUCAUCCCAUUCAGUUAACAACCCAGACUCAUCAAGGCCUUGAAACCAAACCAAAGCCUUUCCCACCAUGUGAAAUGAUACCAAACGUAAACGGUGGUGAGGUAAAGUAUUGUGAAAUGCAAAGAACUGUUUUACCUUGUACAGCCAGCCUUGUGGAUCAUCCCCAUCAAAGGUUGGAAAGUCAAUCCGUACGGAUCGAGGCUGUAUGUCACCCGCUUGAGGCAACAUAUGUUGUCCACUGUUUUCUCCAUGGUUGCUGCUUUUUGCAUGUGAUUUUUGCAUCUCAGAAGCGAACGCUUGAAACUGGUGCAUCAUUGUUUCCAUUUGCAUUCGGACUGCUUGCAGCUCAACACUAAUGUUGGUAAAUUGUGAUUCAGAAUUUUUUAUGUAGGCUUCAGUUGAUUUCUUGAAUGAUGAAAAUCCUUCAUGCAGGUCCUUCAAUCUAGUGCCUUCAGCCAUUGGAGUUUCAGGAUAGCAGGAUCUGGGCUCUUGGAUACCACUUGUAAUAGGCUAAUAGUAGUAGUGGAUAUAAUGGAAUGUAUAAGGGACUGUAAUAUUGAUAAAAAAAGCCUCACGGCAGUAGCAACACUUUCUUCGAGGGAAAGGACCUCCACAGUAGCGAUGAACAGUAGAAUAUUCCAGAUGAUAGGUUAAAUCUCUUACAGAGACCUUAUGUACUAUAAUAUGCAUUUUACUAAAAAGUCCUUAAUCUAACUGGGCUAAAGGCCCUUACAGUUUACUUAAAAGGAUCAACUCUUCUGCAGCUCAUGGCCCAUACGGCCCAGCUUCUUUCUUAUUUGGUUCGGCCCACCAGCAGGCCUCUCCACCAGCAGCCCACGACAUAAGCUGAACUCUAGUCUUCAGUUCUUCGUGUGCCCUAAGUUCUGUCUGUUCCUCGUGUGCCAUGCCUCAAGCCGCCGACCUCCCUUCUGCUCUUAACUUGCCCAGCCGUGUGACAGAAAGUUAGUUGCAUUUCUCUUUAAUGUAUUUGUCCAGUUAGAGUUAAGUACGGGUCUUGAAUAUAAAGUAACUUUAUCAUUCAAUUUCAUUUAAUGAAAUCAGAUAUUUUUCAUCGGAAAAUUAGAGGUCUCGACUCUCUUAAUAGCUCUUGAAGGAGAAAUUCCAAAAUAAGUUAUUAGGAUAAGAGGGGAUAGUGAAGAGAGUUGAAUGAUGGGAACAAGCCUUGGGCCAACUGAGCUGUCACGUGAUUCACAUCAGAUUCAUCGUGAGCAUUGAAAAGCAACCGAUCAGCUGGGAAAUAUUUGAUUGAAUCAGUAACAGCCAAGUCUUGUCUAGUGCACCAAAAUUCAAAUUUCUGGGUCUAUUUUAUUUGGUUGGCACUGAUGGUAUAAUGUGAUUUAGAUUGCUAAUCUUGAACACAUACGAGGCCAGCAAAGGCGAGUGAGUCAUCCGAAUUUUUGUCUGUUGCGACAUCCACAUAAAUUUUGUUUUGCAGGUGAGUUGCCAUUGAUUCUGCAACACACUUGGUUUGCUAGAGUCAGCGCAUAUAUAUAGCAUUGGAUCUGGUCUGUUUGGAUUUACUUAUUUGUUUUCCUAAUCUCUUUGUUGCCGCCACUCGCUGGGAACGCAGGAGAUGUGAGUUUAUUGAAGUUUAUGAUAAGUGCAAUUUAUUCUAUCCUGGAUGAUGGGAAAUUUGGAA